rnacentral:rRNA from 1 species
GACGAACGCUGGCGGCGUGCUUAACACAUGCAAGUCGAACGGUAAGGCCCUUCGGGGUACACGAGUGGCGAACGGGUGAGUAACACGUGGGUGAUCUGCCCUGCACUUCGGGAUAAGCCUGGGAAACUGGGUCUAAUACCGGAUAGGACCACUGCCUGCAUGGGUGGUGGUGGAAAGCUCUUGCGGUGUGGGAUGGGCCCGCGGCCUAUCAGCUUGUUGGUGGGGUGAUGGCCUACCAAGGCGACGACGGGUAGCCGGCCGGAGAGGGUGACCGGCCACACUGGGACUGAGAUACGGCCCAGACUCCUACGGGAGGCAGCAGUGGGGAAUAUUGCACAAUGGGCGCAAGCCUGAUGCAGCGACGCCGCGUGAGGGAUGACGGCCUUCGGGUUGUAAACCUCUUUCAGCACCGACGAAGCGCAAGUGACGGUAGGUGCAGAAGAAGGACCGGCCAACUACGUGCCAGCAGCCGCGGUAA